rnacentral:pre_miRNA from 1 species
UGGACAGAUUAUUGUAUUCACAACGUGAAAUAGGGGAUUACACUGUUUUUAAAACGGAAAGUGAAUCAAUUAACAUAAUAGACUCCU